rnacentral:rRNA from 1 species
CACGUAGGGGGCGAGCGUUGUCCGGAUUUAUUGGGCGUAAAGAGCUCGUAGGCGGUUCGGCAAGUCGGGUGUGAAAUUUCGAGGCUCAACCUCGAAACGCCACUCGAUACUGCUGUGACUGGAGUCCGGUAGAGGAGUGCGGAAUUCCUGGUGUAGCGGUGCAAUGCGCAGAUAUCAGGAGGAACACCAACGGCGAAGGCAGCACUCUGGGCCGGUACUGACGCUGAGGAGCGAAAGCGUGGGGAGCAAACAGG